GAAUUCAACUCCUACGGGAGGCAGCAGUGGGGAAUAUUGGACAAUGGGCGCAAGCCUGAUCCAGCCAUGCCGCGUGAAUGAUGAAGGCCUUAGGGUUGUAAAGCUCUUUCGACGGGGACGAUAAUGACGGUACCCGUAGAAGAAGCCCCGGCUAACUUCGUGCCAGCGGCCGCGGUAAUACGAAGGGGGCUAGCGUUGCUCGGAAUCACUGGGCGUAAAGGGCGCGUAGGCGGCGUUUUAAGUCGGGGGUGAAAGCCUGUGGCUCAACCACAGAAUGGCCUUCGAUACUGGGACGCUUGAGUAUGGUAGAGGUUGGUGGAACUGCGAGUGUAGAGGUGAAAUUCGUAGAUAUUCGCAAGAACACCGGUGGCGAAGGCGGCCAACUGGACCAUUACUGACGCUGAGGCGCGAAAGCGUGGGGAGCAAACAGGAUUAGAAACCCUAGUAGUCCAGGCGUU
rnacentral:rRNA from 1 species